AAACAAACACCGGAGCACAAGCGACCCAAACACAGACCCUUCCCAACCCCUGGGGUCCCAUGGCCUAACCAGCGCCCACCCUGGUAGCAGAACGGCCAACACAAAAAAACAACACCUGAUAACAACUACCACUGACGGGGCUCUAGAGGCUGUGGCCCCACAGCCUAACCAGCCCCAUAAAAUACCCAAGAAGAAGAAGCUUAUGAAACACACCAUAACUAAAGAAAAAAAAAAACAGAACAAGAAAAACACCAUAACUCGUAAGAAAAACACCAUAAUUCCGAAGCAAAACACCAUUACUGAAGAAAUACACCAUAACUCUGAAGAAAAACACCAAAACUCUCCUCCCAGACCUAGGACCUAACGCCUUCCUCACCAGACCCAAAAAACACUGAAGAAGACCUAGGACCCAAGAAGCAAUACACAUAUCACAAAAGGAAUUACAGACCCUGCAUCACAGGACCACACUUGGUCACCCAGCACCUGCACACCCCAGCGAUGAGCAAGUUGCCGCCCAAGAUGAUGAGCCUGAAAAGGUUCAUGCUACGAACAGAAGCCAUCAAGUUGUAUAGAAAUAUCCUGCGGCAACUACAACACUUACCAGACAAGACUCAGCGGAAGGAGAUACAAGAGUGGGCUCGGCAAGACUUUGAGGCUCACAGACACCAUGAGGAGGAGGAGGUGAUCAAGAGACUGAUCAUGCAGGGGAAGCAACAGUUAGAGGAGCUUGAGAAGACAAUCAAGCGAGCAAAUGGAUAAUUGCUCAUUUGAAAAUCACGUUAUAUAUGUAAAAAUGUAAAUUUGUACAUACAUAUCCGAACACUGUAAAAAGCCUGCACCCCAAGAUCUUAUAGCAUUGAAAAAUUGUCACUCAUACUAUAUACAACCAUUACUAAAAUUUCUUACCAAGACAUUUGUAGUAUAUUAUUUAUUUUCAUUGUUGAUGCUCGGAGACCCCUCAAAAACCAAUUAGGUCAUCAGUGAAUCUCCAUGGAGUGUUCUUCAUGGCAGCUGUACUAUGCGGAAGAAGUGAAACCGUUAUGUAGCAUGAGCAGCCAGAAAAUAGUGGAGUGAGCAUGCAAAGAAUUAUCAGAAAGGCACAGCAAGGGAGGAGAUCCAGGUGUUAUGGUCAUGAGAUAAUAGGGAUAAGAACAGAUGCAAUGGAGAAAAAAAGUAAUGCUGGUGGGGAAGUCAUGAGGAAUUGUCACUCGUUUAUACUGCUGGCCUUGUUAUCCAAGAGAGCAAGGUCACAGCUCAUGUCAAUACCUAUUUUCUGACAACCGAAAGGCUACAGCAUGAAAGAUCUGCUUAGGUUUCCUUUUCAUAAUUAUGUACAUUAUACUGUUUACAUUCUUAUUUCUUGUUUGUGAAAGUUAAGGGUAAUUAUGAUCAUUCUAAAUUUGUGACAUACAUUAAUUGAACCAUGAAUAAACAACAGACACUAUGUCUCAUAACUGAAAAGUAUGAAAGUUCUCAAUAUGUAUCAACCAAUCAAAGAUAUGUUUGUAAUUAAGACUAUUGUAAUUAAGAGUAUUAUUAAAAUUUAACCUAAAGUGAUAAAAAGAUUUGAAUGGUACACAGAAAGCAAACAUACAACCAGCAACACAUCUCACAUGUUAAGCUUUGGACAUGAUCUGCAAGACAUGGGAACAAGCCGGCCCACCCUGUCCAUCUUGAUAGUUGUUUGGCAGUCUGUUGCUUUAGGCUUUUCUAAUAAAAAUGUGCACCCCA